AAUUAUCAGUAUGUGAAGUAAGAUUGAAAAGAAAUGCACACAAAUAGAACAAAAAUAAACCUCAACAACAGGAGAUAGAACUUGAACAACUGAUUUGGAUUCUUGAAUUUGACCUUUAAUAUCUUCAAUGAAGGUUUUACCCUCAUGAACAUCAUUAACAGAUGCAUUUCCCAUUUAGGCUGCCACUUAACUUUUGCUACUAAAGUUCUACCCUCAA
rnacentral:lncRNA from 1 species